UCCGAGUUAGUAUAUCGGCUAGUAUGUCCGCCUUUCAUGAUAGGGGCGCGGAGGAGACGGGUUCGAUUCCCGUACUCGGAA
rnacentral:tRNA from 1 species